CUCGAUAAAGUUACGUAUACGCAUGGAUACUACAGAGAUCUCUUUUUUUUUCAAAAGUGUCUGAGGUCAUCUUCUGCAGCAUGACUUUAUUCACCGAUGGAUGUUGUGACCUUAAUCUUUUCACGCAAACCUCUCGCGCAUGCCGGGUGCGAUACCACACACGGCGCAAAGCGUAUUUUCUUUAUCCUCCCUAUCACAUUCACCCACCCGCUGAUCCAAAUGCAGACGGGCUUUAUUGAUUUUAGCGCCUCCAAGAUGCGGAAAGUCUGUCCAUUUGUGCGCGUGCGUACGCAUGUAUGUGUGUGUGUGUGUGUGUGUGUGUACACACAAAAGGAUUAAGGCCCUCGCUGAGCUCUUGAUACCAUCAGCCAUCAGGCACCCAAGUCCACUUCGUGCUUUCCCGGCUGCCGCAUUGUCUAUUCUGCUCCGCUAUGUGAAAAAUGUUGAAUAUCAACAAUGGCUUUCAGUGGUGUAUUGUUGAGUUUUUGUAUGAACUAAUCUUGCCUCAGUGAAAAGAGACCUAGGGCUUGGACAAAACGUCUAGAGCCACACAGCAUUCCGAGCCGGCUCUCUCCCCCCUUGAACACUGAGCGGAAAGCCCAGGCUGAGGGUAGGCGGGCGACGCUGCCUGGAGGAGAGCCGGCGAGGCGCGCCGAAAGGCCCCGCCGCUGGAGGCGAGCGCCAAGACGAACGACUUGUUGCCGGCCAAGGACACGAAAGCCUUUCUUCCACCAAAUAACCCGUAAAGGAAGUUCGUUUUCCUGCGAGGGAAUGCUCGGCGGCGAAGCAGCCCGACGUCCAAUCAGAGAACGGGAUUGCCGGCCUUGUCAGAACAACCGCCGUGACAUCAUCGACGGGGCGAGCGCGGAGCACGCACGCACGGAGGGAGCUUCUCCGCUCCGCGAGCCUCGUAACGGCGCGCCGGUGCUCUCGGAUCCCGAACCCUGCGGACUAAUCGGCGGCGCGUGCGGAGCGAGCCGCCCCCGACCCCUCCACCCGGUUCGGGCGAAAUGAUGCUCGGAGCUUGAUGUUGCAGCUGGAGAGAAGAUUCCACGGCGCUCGAAGGAGGGAAGGGGGGGGUGAAGAUUUCUGCCAAUCACGACGAGAGGAAGACAGCCGCCGCGCACGAAGCCGACGCAGAAUUAAACCAUCUGUUGAACAAAGGAUGAAGACAAUUUCAGCAGAGGGGGGCCGCCAUCUUGAGAUGCGCCCUCCCCCAACUCGGGACUGGCUUUCAAAAACGUUCUCGACACGGCGUCGUUUCGAUCUCGUUCCUCGUGGAAGCGAUGAGUCCAGCAAAAUGAAGCUUUCCACAAAUGAAGCUUUCCACAAAUGAAGCUUUGCCAAGGCUUUUCCCAAAGCGCUCGAAGCCUCACCGCGGUUGCGGAUGGGCCGGAUCGCAGCUGACUCGGGCGAGAGGCGGGACGCGCCCUUGCCCCGCCGCCAUCAUCAUCAUUCCUCGUUUUUCGUAUUUCGGGAAGCGAGCGACAAGUAGUGUAAAUGUCCGCUCUUGCAUUCGCUUUGAUUGGCUUUGAGUGUCUGUGAGUGGCGGGUCCAUCCCAGCCACUUUGCGGGUCCCCAGAUUGAGCGCUUCGUCGUGUGUGUGUGUGUGUGUGUUCUGGAAACCAGAGAGAGCCAAAUGAAUCCGUAAUUAACGGCGAUGAUGAACCCGCAACUCCCAAAGCGCUUCCACGCCCCAAAUUUCCCAGCCAUGAGGUGGCCAAGGCUAUCCCAAGGGGGUCCGCAAAAUAAAAACGUCAUCAGCCGUCGAGAUCCAUUGUUAGAUGGAAUAAAAGGUCAGCAACAUUAGU